CCAGUCGAGGCUCCAGGUGAGGAAGUGCAGGGAUUUGAGGGGGUCCUGGGACCCCCAGGUCUCCUUCAGAGAACGUUCCCCCUCUGGAGCUAGCAGGCACAUUUUACCUAAUGCUUGUCUCCCCCGCGGGAAGGAGAACCCCGGGCGGGUAGAGAUGGAGCCGGGUCUGCCCACGUGUGCACCCCCGGGAUCCUGACGAUGUCUCAAGAAACACGGACCGAGAGAAGAAGGGGCCCUUGUGUGUGGAAGCCGGGGAUGCAGAGGACGGAGACUUCUCUCUGCCACCCCAGGCUCAGGGAGCACGGGGUUCUGCUUCUCAGGGUUUGGAAGUAAGAGUUUACUGCCGUGACCAUGGCUGCUCCUGUGUGACAGUGACUGUCGCCCAGAAGUCAGCAGCUGAUGCCAGAAUGAGACCCGAGCUCACGCGGCCAGGGAGAUGGGGCGCAGGGCGGGUUUCCUGCCGGGAAGCGGUCAGAGCAGCCUCCCUCCAAGGGAGGUGUCAGCAGCCAGCAGCAGCCCCGCAGCCAGAGACCAGCUGGUGCACAGCCCCCCUGACACUGCCCUGCAGCCGUCUCCCUCCCGGGACUUGGCCGCAGGGCCGACUGCGACCU